UACGUAGGGUGCGAGCGUUAAUCGGAAUUACUGGGCGUAAAGCGUGCGCAGGCGGUUGGUUAAGACAGGUGAAAUCCCCGAGCUCAACUUGGGAAUUGCGCUUGUUACUGGCCAGCUCGAGUGUGUCAGAGGGAGGUAGAAUUCCACGUGUAGCAGUGAAAUGCGUAGAGAUGUGGAGGAAUACCGAUGGCGAAGGCAGCCUCCUGGGAUAACACUGACGCUCAUGCACGAAAGCGUGGGGAGCAAACAGG
rnacentral:rRNA from 1 species